rnacentral:rRNA from 1 species
UGCAACCUGAGCUCAGUCGUGAUACCCGCUGA